rnacentral:rRNA from 1 species
UACAGAGGGGGCAAGCGUUAUUCGGAAUUAUUGGGCGUAAAGGGCGCGUAGGCGGCCAAGCAAGUCAGGGGUGAAAUCCCCGAGCUUAACUUGGGAACUGCCAUUGAUACUAUCAGUCUUGAAUACCGUGGAGGUCAGCGGAAUAUGUCAUGUAGCGGUGAAAUGCUUAGAUAUGACAUAGAACACCAAUUGCGAAGGCAGCUGGCUACACGAGUAUUGACACUGAGGCACGAAAGCGUGGGGAUCAAACAGG